UCAAGUUAUGAAGGGCGCAGGGUGGAUGCCAUGGCACUGGACGCCGAAGAAAGACGUGGUAAGCUGCGAAAAGCCACGGGGAGCCGCAAGCAGGCUUUGAUCCGUGGAUUUCUGAAUGGGGAAACCCGGCGGAAGUAAUGUUCCGUCAUCCGUGAAUGAAUCCAUAGUUCACGAGAAGGGCACCCGGGGAACUGAAACAUCUAAGUACCCGGAGGAAAAGAAAGAAACAUCGAUUUCGUGAGUAGCGGCGAGCGAAAGCGAAGGAGCCCAAACCAUCCGACCACGGUUGGAUGGGGUUGUGGGUCAGCAGAACGUACGAGGAAAUCUAGGAGAAGAGUUCUGGAAAGGACUUCCAAAGAGGGUAAGAGGCCCGUAUCCGAAAGGUUGAAUCGGCAAGCUGAUACCAGAGUACCACAGGACACGAGGAAUCCGGUGGGAAGCAGGAGGGACCACCCUCCAAGGCUAAAUACGAUCCAGUGACCGAUAGCGCAUAGUACCGUGAGGGAAAGGUGAAAAGAACCCCGGGAGGGGAGUGAAAAAGAACCUGAAACCCUGUGCUUACAAGCAGAGAGAGCACGAUUAAGUGUGAUCUCGUACUUUUUGUAGAACGGACCGGCGAGUUACGUUAUGCAGCGAGGUUAAGAACUGAAGGUUUGGAGCCGAAGCGAAAGCGAGUCUGAAUAGGGCGAAAAGUUGCAUGACGUAGACCCGAAACCGGGUGACCUAUCCAUGGGCAGGUUGAAGUGGAAGUAAAAUUUCAUGGAGGACCGAACCAGACGUCUGUUGAAAAAGGCGGGGAUGACCUGUGGAUAGCGGAGAAAUUCCAAUCGAACCCGGAGAUAGCUGGUUCUCCUCGAAAUAGCUUUAGGGCUAGCCUCGCAUUAGUUUACCGGAGGUAGAGCACUGAAUGGUCUAGGGGGCCUCACCGCCUACCGAAACCUAUCAAACUGCGAAUGCCGGAUAAAUGAUGUGCGGGAGUCAGGCCGCGAGAGAUAAGUUCCGCGGUCAAAAGGGGAACACCCCAGAUCGUCUGCUAAGGUCCCCAAGUACGCGUUAAGUGGGAAAGGAUGUUGGAUUGCACAGACAACCAGGAUGUUGGCUUAGAAGCAGCCACACAUUCAAAGAGUGCGUAAUAGCUCACUGGUCGAGUGAUCCAGCGCCGAAAAUGUAACGGGGCUAAAACGCGACACCGAAGCAGCGGGAUGCGUAAGCAUCGGUAGAGGAGCAUUGUGUGAGGAUAGAAGCCAGAGCGGGAGCACUGGUGGACUUCACAGAAGAGAGAAUGCCGGUAUGAGUAGCGAGACCCAUGUGAGAAACAUGGGCGUCGAAGGCCCAAGGUUUCCUGGGGAAGGUUCAUCCACCCAGGGUAAGUCGGGACCUAAGCCGAGGACUGAGGUCGUAGGCGAUGGACAGCAGGUAGAGAUUCCUGCACCACUUACACUUGUUUGACGAAGCAGUGACACAGAAGGAUAGGACGAGCGCGGUGAUGGUCAGCCGCGUAGGCGGCACGAGGCUGGGGAGCAGUAAAGUACACUUCCCGGGAAGGCUGAGUGUUGACAGGACCGAAAAAGAGUAGGGAAGCGUCUGAGUUCACGCUGGCGAGAAAAGCUGCUAAGGAGAGUGUGAGUGCCCGUACCGGAAACCGACGCAGGUGGGCGAGGAGAGAAUCCUGAGACGGACGGGAGAACUCUUGUUAAGGAACUCGGCAAAAUGACCCCGUAACUUCGGGAGAAGGGGUGCCUCGAAAGAGGCCGCAGAGAAUAGUCACAAGCGACUGUUUAGCAAAAACACAGGUAUCUGCGAAAGCGAGAGCUGACGUAUAGGUGCUGACGCCUGCCCGGUGCUGGAAGGUUAAGGGGAAGUGUUAGGGGGAACCCGAAGCAGAGAACCGAAGCCCCAGUAAACGGCGGCCGUAACUAUAACGGUCCUAAGGUAGCGAAAUUCCUUGUCGGGUAAGUUCCGACCCGCACGAAUGGUGUAA
rnacentral:rRNA from 1 species